CAGUCGCCACGGUAAAACGAAGGGUGCAAGCGUUAAUCGGAAUUACUGGGCGUAAAGCGCACGUAGGCGGAUCGAUCAGUCAGGGGUGAAAUCCCAGAGCUCAACUCUGGAACUGCCUUUGAUACUGUCGAUCUGGAGUAUGGAAGAGGUGGGUGGAAUUCCGAGUGUAGAGGUGAAAUUCGUAGAUAUUCGGAGGAACACCAGUGGCGAAGGCGGCUCACUGGUCCAUUACUGACGCUGAGGUGCGAAAGCGUGGGGAGCAAACAGGAUUAGAUACCCCAGUAGUCCCUGUCUCUUAUAC
rnacentral:rRNA from 1 species